GCCAGCAUAGUGUAGUGGUCUGAGUGCUGGACUACAACUCUGGAGACCAGAGUUCAAUUCCUUGCUCUGCCA